GGAGUUUGUAAAAGCAGUUUAGAGCGGUCUUUAAUAUCACCGCCAAUAUGGUAAGGAAGACCACAGUUCGCGAACGACACAAAGGCCCGCGUUCUAACAUGAUAAUUUCAGCGUCUUCACUCAAACGUCGAGCUCGAGCAGCGGCAGAAGCACCACCCGCAACACCAC
rnacentral:antisense_RNA from 1 species